rnacentral:misc_RNA from 1 species
GAUGAAGAACGUAGCGAAAUGCGAUAAGUAUUGUGAAUUGCAGAAUUCAGUGAAUCAUCGAAUAUUUGAACGCACAUUGCGCCCUCUGGUAUUCCGGGGGGCAUGCCUGUUCGCGCGUCAUUACAACCCUCAAGCUUUGCUUGGUAUUGGACAUUGCCAGUUUCUGGCAGGUCUUAAAAUCAGUGGCGGUGCCAUUUGGCUUCAAGCGUAGUAAUUCUUCUCGCUUUGGAGAUCCAGGUGGUUACUUGCCAAUAACCCCCAAUUUUUUCAGGUUGACCUCGGAUCAGGUAGGGAUACCCGCUGAACUUAAGCAUAUCAAUAAGCGGAGGA